ensembl:lncRNA
GCUAGAAAAACAUAUAAUAUAUUUCACAUUUCACAGUAAGAACUCUUAUAUUCUGUUACUGUUUCAUGCAUUGUGAUUUCUUCCUGUGUUGUUCAUCAUAUUCAAUUCACUCCUUACUGUAGAAUAGGUCGCCAUAAGUGAUGAUGCCUAAAAUCAUGUACUAAUGGUUCCAGAGUCUCGACUGACUAAGCUGUGUCAUGGAAUCACAGUCAACAAGUGCAGGAACGUUUGAACUUCAUGUCACUACGUCCUGUACGCAGGUGGAAGCUUGAAGAGAGAUUUGGGGAAAUUCCUGUUGAAGAUGGAGUCAUUGGUCUUCUGGAGGGCUGUCUUCAUCUUCCUUUCACUUCCCUCGAUCCAGGUACUAAAAAUGGAUGGAUGGAUGGAUGGAUGAAUGGACUGAUAAACAGAUGAAUGGAUGGAUGGAUUAAUUGAUGAACAGAUGGAACCAAAUGGAUGGAUGGAUGGACUGAUGAAUAGACAGGUUGAUGGUUGGAUGGAUGGAUUAAUCAAUCGACAGAUGGAUGGACAAAUGGAUGGAUGGAUUGAUGAAUGGACAGAUGGACGGAUGAAUGGACGAGUGGAUGGAUACGCUGGAUUCCUGAUUCUCUAUGUACCACCUGAAUGACAUUUAGGAAACACAUUCCUGAUCCCUUGCUGCACUUCGAACAGAUACCUGUGUGUCUAUUUUUGUGUAGUUAUUGUAGAUUUCAGCUUAUUCAUCGUCACAGAAUUUGGUGAAUCAAAUGAACAUGGACCACACCACAGAAUGCUUGUUAGGGCUCCCACUCUCCCACGGCCGGCUCACUGCGGCGGCUGUCAGCUCCGUUGGCUAAUUUGAUCUCACCAGUCCGAAUCAGAUUGUUAAUACAGGUGCAGGGUAGUGAGGUGAGCUCACUGUAGUCUCUCUACAUGUGUAUUUGCAGUUGUAAGUGUCACCUCUUUAUAAGAAGCACAAAUGAGUGCGGAUUUCUCUGGCAAAUAUAGCAGCUCCUUAAUCCCUGACAACAGUAAUGUAACAUAACAUAAUGGACCCAGAGAAAACAUCUUUAUUUGGACGGCGUCUGUUUAUAAAGGCAGGAAUAUUUCUUCCGUCUAUUUUCAGGACCGGGACUUUUGUGGUGAGCUAUGAGUUUAAGAAUGAGGGUUUGGACAGUGUUUCUGGCUCAUAAACUCCACACAGCAACUCUGGAAUUUGAGCUUUUUAAAAAAGGUGAUUCACAGAGUGAAUUAUAUAAUGGUGCAAAAGUUGUAGAUUUGAAUAACUAGUGACCAACUAUUGGGAUUCUCUUAUUAAUAUAUUUGCCACUCUUUGUCGCGUUAAUACACAAAAACACAUAAAAUAAGUCAAAUAUUGUAGCAAAGUUUAUUUGGAUUGACGGUAUUUCACUGAUUUCUUUGCUUGAACUGUACAUUAAAAUCGGGGGGUCAGUGCGUGAAGAAAAGCUUCCAAUUAAAGAUGCUUAUUAUAAUAGUAAAUAUCACAGUUUUAAUGUUAUUAACCAAAAUAUUUCUAGUAAGCCUGUAUCUCAUAACUAAAACAUUUUAGCUAAAUCUAAAUGAAUUUCAUGGGCAGAUCUAUUGAGUUAUUGUAAGCCGGUCGAAGCCUGUAUCAUAAAGUCAAAUAAGUCAUAAUUCAGCUUGAACUGUGUUUAUUACAAACUAAAUUAGACAUGUGUAUAGCUCUCCUCAAUGCUACAGGUGAGUGGGACCACUGUCACUCACAAAACAAACUGCCGCACAGACACUUGCCUUGUGACUGGCGUGAUAUCAUUUCAAAGAAGGCACAUACACGUCCCACAAGACUGGUUUCACCUGGGAAAUAAUGUAGGAGACAGGACGCCAAGAAUUUUGUAGCUUCAUCAAUACUUUUGCUUAUGAAACGAUGACUUAAAGUGGCAACAAUAAACCAAUGAUCCAUUAAAUAUAUUUGAUUUGAUUCCCUUAUUGCCUAACAAAAGCAAUUGUGAAGUAUUUUCUUUCCACUUAAUACCAAUGCUAUUUACUAACGAAGGCUAAUAUUCUAGAUUGAACGUAAAGACGGGUCAGUGUCCAUCAAAAGCAUCACGGCCAACUAUGUAAUGAACCCGGAAGGGGAUGAACCAGUUUAAAAAGAAACUCCCAGUCAGGUUAUUCUAUUGGUCAGAUCUGCCUCUGGCACUCUAUUGGUUGAGAAUUUAGACAAGAAAAUAUAAGAGCAGUGGAGAGAUACUUCAAAGCUUCUUCUGUUGCCACGACAAUCAUCGUCCAAAUUAGUUUUUUUUUUAAAUAAUUCUAUAUGCAUCAUCAUAAACUUCCCACAUCUAAUAAGCGAUGUAAUGCCUCAUUAUUCAUGAGGAAUAAUAAGGCGCUCUCAGAGGGAUAGCGGGGUGGUUGUGUGCAGCGGGUUCGUGCAUGUGUGCUGUCCAGGGUGCUGAAACGCAGCGCGCGAGAUCAAUAGAUCGCAUUCUUUAUUCUACGCCCACGUGUUCUCACAGGCCGCAAUAUGUUUAUUCAUACAUUUGAUUACAGGUCACUUUUGAGCAGAGCUAAUUUAUUUGAGGUGAUUAUUUUCCAGCUGUUUUCAUUUCAAUGGCGUGUCUUCUCAUUAUCGUCUCCCCUCCCACCAGCGUUUUAACGCACAGGCUUACGGGGGCUCAUGCCCCCAUGCCCACGCUAAUAGAGACACAACGGUAGCGGGGCUUUUUACUCCCACACAAUCCGCUGUGUGAGGUGUGUGUGUGUGUGUGUGUGAUAGGGAGUCAUACAGUUGACCUGCAGUGAGCUGGCAGCUGAGGAAUCCUUCACCGGCCCGUUCAUUGACACAGCGCCCUCCUCACGUCAUCCAUGCCGACUCAGCUGUAUCCUGCAUGUCUGACCCCUCACAGCCAAAUGGAGCGAUGGAAGUUAGGAUAAUGAAAAGCAGAGGGAAGGUUGAUAUUCAGGUGUUCCACCCUGCCUUUAAAUAAGUCACACACACACACAGGCCUCUGACCUUAUUGCAUACUUGCGGAUGAGCUUAGGUCUGUGAUAAAGAGAACAUAAGUUAGUUGUUGUGUGUUGUGUGCAUACGUGUGUGUGUGUGUGUGUCUGGAUUCCUCCGAUCACAAAUACCGAUACAAUUUAACAUGAACAUAGAAUUGCUUCUUUAUUCUUUUGGCGAUGAUUGGAUUUGGUCACAGCGCACUCCUGAACACUCGAAAUGACUCAGCAUGAUUUAUAUGGUGGCCGGCGGAGAUAAGUAAGACGGUCACCAUGGCAACAAUUAAGCUUUAUUCCAGACACAUGGGGCCAUAUCAACAACAAUAGGGCACUAGCCAAGAUGAUGGGAGGGGUGAGUCGCAUGACAAACAAGCACCAGCUCUCUCCUGCUCGCCCGCCUUUCAGCAGAUCUUCACUUUUUAAAUGUGUCCCUUUCUUCCCGCCCCGGUGGGUCACUUUUGGGGUCAUCACACGCAGAUGCUGAGCCAGCACGGCGUCCUGUGAUGGCAUCGGACCAGGUACCCGGAGAUCUUGGCAUGAGAACAAUAACGAGGUUCUGCCAAACUUUUGUCAUCACAUUGCACUUCCCACAGAAAGGGCAGGAAUCUGGAAUUCCCACUUCCCAACCCAACAUGUAGUUAUACAAGUCAGAGCACCACCACCAUUUUCAUCGUGACAGAAUGUUAUAAAACGAUAUCGUGACCAGCCAGGUCAUGCAUUGGACCUUCCAAUGAGAGGCACCGCUGACUGAUUUAUCCUGGGAGGGAUCCCGAUUCAUUUCGGAAAACAUUAUGGGACGAGUGAAGAGCAGAACAACGAUGAUAUAAUAAGGAGCGAGCAGCAUAAACAUGGCUGAAACAGAGUUGUUUAUAUUUGGCAUCAAGAGCAAAAAGUUUGCAGAAGGCCGAGGGUGGAGUGUCGUCUUUCAGUCGGCACGUUCUGAAAUAAAAAAUGAGAGAAAAGAGACCGGAAAAUUACAGCAAACCGCAGUAAAUAAAUGAGAAAUAGCCGCUAAAGGAGCUGUCCAGUCAGUCAGAUAAUUACCAUUGAACCCAAUUGAAAUGACUGCUAAUUUGAGGGAAGACGGCGUGAGCCCACCGGGGGCGGAAGGCAUUUGGUGCACACAGUAGUCUCUUUUUUUCUCCAACCCCCCCCAAAGAAAAAACAAGCUGCUCCUCCAACUGACUGAGGCCGAGGCUCCUAAAGAGAAGCAGCUUCUGUUCCUCACUGUGGUGACACCAUGUCUGGUGUAUCCAAUCGUUGAGUAAUCGGGGGAAUAAAAGUGUAGUUAUUGUUGAGAAACAUGAGGCCGACCAUCAGGGAUUCAAAAUGGAUUUGAAAUAAACGUGUGCCAAGGCGAGGCAGCGGCCUGUGAUGAGGCACACCAGAGGUUUUGUUUUGGUCUUACGUUGGUAUCGUGUUAGUUUGUAGGAGUAUCAUGUAUGAUAAUAUGUAACAGCGUAUCGUUAACUGAAGAAUGCAGUGUGUGGGUGAGAUGGCAUGAUGUCUGCAUGAGGAGUGCUGUCGGAGUAGAGCUGCAGGAUAGAGGCCAACAUCAUGACCACAGUUGUUUUUAUCAAUAAUGAGAUCACGAUUAUGACUCCUCCCAUCUUGCUCUCCACCUGGUGGUUACUGACUGUUGGUUGAGGAAGGCAUUUGAAACGUCAAUAUUGCUGACAAUGAUAAUUGUGGCUGCUAAAAUUGUAAUCCCAAUUAAAACGUGAUUAAUUGUGCAGCCCUAUGUCCGGGUGAUAAUAAUUGGCUCAGAUAUUUCCUUAUGUUUCUGCUAAUCCUGAACGAACACCACUUCAUUGUGCCGGCGUGGUGUUCGGGCGUAGUCAACAGGUCGCCGGGCUCCGCGAGGUGCUUUUGGUGCUGCUCAGGUGGGCUGGGGGUGAACAGUGUUGCACGGAUGGUGUGCUGUAUGUUGAAAAGUGAAGGAAUGUGUUGUGUACAUUGGAACAAAGUGGUGUGACUGAGUGUGGAUGAGGUGAUGGAGGGGGUGAGGGUGGGGGUGGCGGUGCUGUACUGUGCACGCUCGGCCGGUCACCUGGAUUAUCCCAAGCUGAUGUAGGAUCAGAAUCGCGCCUGAUUGCCUUUUAUUGUCCGGGUGUUUUAUCAGACGUGCAGGCUGGAGUUGGGUUUUCACCGACCCCUUUCAUUUUAAAACUAAGAACACGGUGGUGGCGGGAAAUGUCUCCGGAGAGGAGAAAGAUCGUUUGUCAGCAUUAUCGCACAAACCGGGAGGGGAGCGGAGCCACGAGGGACAGCAGAGGGGGCGGAGGGGUGGAGGAGAGAGGGAAACACCGAGGCAGAAGACGGGUGAAGUGACAACGUGAGCGCCUAUUGGUGGGUUUCCUGUCGGCCGGGCCUUCCUGGUGCCAGCCCCUUCCUGUCAUCCCCCAGCUGUUCAAACACAAUCCGUCGACAAAACCGGCCGGUCCUUUUCCCGUCUCAACCCACCCAGCCAGAAGCCCUCACCAGCACCACCUUCCUCCUCCUCCUCCUCCUCCUCCUCCCGCCCAGGCGGGAUCCCCGAGCCUUUCCUCUCAGCCUCCUCUUAAAACAGCAUUGUCCGUGAUGCCAACAAUCGGUGAGGUAUGGCUUCGCGGAAUGCAGCGCGCUGCUGCCAUUGUGUGUAGGGAUGAUGACGGAGGUGGUGGAGCAGCAGAGAGCAGCCAGGGACCAGAAGGAAAAGGGCACGGAGAGAAAGAGCAACCAGAACAAGAAAAGCCUCUUUUCUGGUGACCUUUUUUUUAAGGUUACCUAACAAUGUGUUCUACAAUUUCAUUGAAAGGCUGUUUUGGGGACCAAUCCACCGGUGCUCUUUGACAGAACUGCUUCUAGAAUGUACAAUCAACGCUAUUUCUGUAACGUUUGAUGUCACCCCCCCCUCCUCCUCUCAGGAUUAGUUCAUAGGUAAUAAGGGCGUCAAAGGACGCAGACUAAUAAUAGCAUGCGUUAAUAAGACUAUAUGUGUGUUAUUGCGUUACAUUAGGAUUUGGGGAGAUCUAUAGGCAGUUGUUUAAGACCACUUAAGACAAAUUAUUAAGAGUUGUAGAAAAAAAAGAGUUUGUUACGAUUGCUACAUUAAUUUAAGACAAAAACAUGUAUCAUUUACAUUUAUUCAGUGUAACUAAGUUACAUAUUAUGACAUUGUUACAAUAUUGGCUGUGAUUUUUAUAUGUACAAAAAUGACACACAUAUAUUUUCUGUUUGAAUUUAUUUGACAACAUACGAUACGGCUCGAUGUUAUUCUCGUUGUUAAGUGUCUUUAACCUUAACACUAAAAUAGUUGACGAUCCCAUUAUUAACACUGCUAAUGUUGCGUCACCGCGCGGUAAUUAGCAUCUUACAUGGCCUCAGCUUUUCCUAACGGAGCCCUUAAUUCAAAGCGCUGCAGAUUGGUCAUUACCC